CAGACACAUCAAAAUCUCCUUUUACUUUGGGUCCUUUCAAAUCCAGGUCAACAUCAGGUAUGGAGAUCUUGGGAGCUUUGAUAUUUAUUUCAGGCAUCUUGAACUUGGGGCCCUUUAGUUUCGCAUCUGGACCUUCGAUAUUCACAUCAGGAACAUCAACGUCCACUUUGGGUCCUGAGACAUCAAUGUCAGCCUUGGGCAGGUUCACAUCCACAUCUGGGCCCUCUCCUUUGAAGCCAGGCAUGCUGAACUUGGGCAUUUUCACCUUGGGCAUCUUCAGGUGCCAGUCUGGGCCUUGAACAUCAACAUCUGGAGCAUUAAUGUCCACUUUGGGGCCCUUGAUGUCAACUUCAGGACCCUUGAGGUCACCUUCCAUUUUGGGCAGAGAAACAUCCACAUCGCCCUUGACUUUGGGGCCCUUCAGGUGCAUCUCUGGUAUCUUAAAUUUGGGGCCUUUCAACUUUGCAUCAGGACACUCCAGCUCAACAUCAGGCACCUCCACACCCACACUGGGGCCUGUUAAAUCUCCCUCCAAUUUUGGCACCGACACAUCCGCAUCCCCUUUGACUUUGGGGCCUUUCAGGUGUAAGUCCACAUCAGGCAUGGAGAUCUUGGGGGCCUUGAAGUGCAUCUCAGGCAUCUUAAACUUGG
rnacentral:lncRNA from 1 species